CACGGAGUUAGCCGAUGCUUUUUCUUCAGGUACUCGCAAAACGUCACACGUGACGCCCUUUGCUCCCUGACAAAAGAGGUUUACAAUCCAUAGGACCGUCAUCCCUCACGCGACUUGGCUGGUUCAGCCCUGCGGCCAUUGACCAAUAUUCCUCACUGCUGCCUCCCGUAGGAGUCUGGUCCGUGUCUCAGUACCAGUGUGGGGGACCUUCCUCUCAGAACCCCUACGCAUCGUCGCCUUGGUGGGCCGUUACCCGCCAACUAGCUAAUGCGACGCAUGACCAUCCGUAGCCGGAAUCGCUUCCUUUAAACCCGAGGAGAUGCCUCCAAGGGUUGUUACGCGGUAUUAGACGGAAUUUCUCGCUUAUCCCCCUGCUACGGGCAGGUUCAUACGUGUUACUCACCGUGCGCCGGUCGCCGGCGGGAGUAUUGCUACUCCCCGCUCGCCCCUCGACUUGCAUGUGUAAGCCUGUCGCUAGCGUUCAUCCUGACGCAGGAUCAAACUCU
rnacentral:rRNA from 1 species